rnacentral:rRNA from 1 species
UACUCCUACGGGAGGCAGCAGUGGGGAAUUUUGGACAAUGGGCGAAAGCCUGAUCCAGCCAUGCCGCGUGAGUGAAGAAGGCCUUCGGGUUGUAAAGCUCUUUUAGUCGGAAAGAAAGAGUUGCAAUGAAUAAUUGUGAUUUAUGACGGUACCGACAGAAAAAGCACCGGCUAACUACGUGCCAGCAGCCGCGGUAAUA